rnacentral:tRNA from 1 species
GCCACCUUAGCUCAGCGGAAGAGCAACUGUUUUGUAAACAGUAGGUCCACGGUUCGAAUCCGUGAGGUGGCU